rnacentral:rRNA from 1 species
AACGAACGCUGGCGGCAGGCCUAACACAUGCAAGUCGAGCGAAGCCUUCGGGCUUAGCGGCGGACGGGUGAGUAACGCGUGGGAACGUGCCCUUUGGUACGGAAUAGCCCCGGGAAACUGGGAGUAAUACCGUAUGUGGUCGAGAGACGAAAGAUUUAUCGCCAAAGGAUCGGCCCGCGUUGGAUUAGGUAGUUGGUGGGGUAAUGGCCUACCAAGCCGACGAUCCACAGCUGGUUUGAGAGGACGAUCAGCCACACUGGGACUGAGACACGGCCCAGACUCCUACGGGAGGCAGCAGUGGGGAAUCUUAGACAAUGGGGGAAACCCUGAUCUAGCCAUGCCGCGUGAUCGAUGAAGGCCUUAGGGUUGUAAAGAUCUUUCAGUGGGGAAGAUAAUGACUGUACCCACAGAAGAAGCCCCGGCUAACUCCGUGCCAGCCGCCGCAGUAACAC